CCUACGGGGGGCAGCAGUAAGGAAUAUUGGUCAAUGGACGCAAGUCUGAACCAGCCAUGCCGCGUGGAGGAUGAAGGUCCUCUGGAUUGUAAACUUCUUUUCUUUGGGAAGAAACUCCCUAUUUCCAUCGGGAUUUACGGUACCAGAUGAAUAAGCCCCGGCUAACUCCGUGCCAGCAGCCGCGGUAAUACGGAGGGUGCCAGCGUUAUCCGGAUUCACUGGGUUUUAGGUGUGCAUGGAUGUCAGUGGUGAAAUCUCCGGGCUUAACCCGGAAACUGCCAUUGAUACUAUUUGUCUUGAAUACUCUGGAGGUGAGCGGAAUAUGUCAUGUAGCGGUGAAAUGCUUAGAUAUGACAUAGAACACCCAUUGCGAAGGCAGCUCACUACGGAAAUAUUGACGCUGAGGCACGAAAGCGUGGGGAUCAAACAGGAUUAGAUACCCCAGUAGUC
rnacentral:rRNA from 1 species